rnacentral:misc_RNA from 1 species
GAUGAAGAACGUAGCGAAAUGCGAUACGUAGUGUGAAUUGCAGAAAUACGUGAACCAUCGAAUCUUUGAACGCACAUUGCGCCCGCUAGUAUUCUGGCGGGCAUGCCUGUUCGAGCGUCAUUUCAACCAUCAAGCCCUAGGCUUGCGUUGGAGCCCUGCGGCUGCCGCAGGCUCCCAAAUCCAGUGGCGGGCUCGUCGUCGUACCGAGUGCAGUAAACAUCCUCGCUCAGGGAACGUGACGGGUUCUUGCCGUGAAACCCCCCACAUAUCAAGGUUGACCUCGGAUCAGGUAGGAAUACCCGCUGAACUUAAGCAUAUCAAUAAGCGGAGGA